AAGCCGGGUGCCUGCGCGUAUGCGCGGGAUAAUAGGGAAGCGGGUGAAAAUCCCGCGCGGUCCCGCCGCUGUGAGAAGCUUCCGGCCGGAACGGUCACUGCGCGCUGCGCGGGAAGGCCCCGGCAGAAAGGGAAGCUUCGGGCGCUUACAGCGCCUUCCAGCCAGAAAACCUGCCCGGCUG
rnacentral:ncRNA from 1 species